CCUACGGGUGGCAGCAGUGAGGAAUAUUGGUCAAUGGACGAGAGUCUGAACCAGCCAAGUAGCGUGAAGGAUGACUGCCCUAUGGGUUGUAAACUUCUUUUAUAUGGGAAUAAAAUGUUCCACGUGUGGGAUUUUGUAUGUACCAUAUGAAUAAGGAUCGGCUAACUCCGUGCCAGCAGCCGCGGUAAUACGGAGGAUCCGAGCGUUAUCCGGAUUUAUUGGGUUUAAAGGGAGCGUAGGUGGAUUGUUAAGUCAGUUGUGAAAGUUUGCGGCUCAACCGUAAAAUUGCAGUUGAAACUGGCAGUCUUGAGUACAGUAGAGGUGGGCGGAAUUCGUGGUGUAGCGGUGAAAUGCUUAGAUAUCACGAAGAACGCCGAUUGCGAAGGCAGUUCACUGGACUGCAUCUGACACUGAGGCUCGAAAGUGUGGGUAUCAAACAGGAUUAGAUACCCGGGUAGUC
rnacentral:rRNA from 1 species